GCCGCUCCCCGCCGCCCGGCCUCAGACGCCGCCCCCCGGGGCCGCCCCGUCAAGGUCACGCCGGCCGGGGGCGGACUCGGGACCCGGACUCGCCGCGGCUUCGCGCCGGGGGCCCUGGACGGGUGCCCGGGGUCUGGGGGGGUCCUGGCGCCCCCGCCGCCGCUUCCCGGCUUCCCGUCCUGGGGGACCCUGAAGGAGAGCCUGAGGGGUCCGGGGGGCCUCGCCGCCGCCUCCAGACUUCCUGGUCGGGGGAACCCCGAGCGGCAACCUGGGGGGGGUGUCCUGGGGCACCCCUGCCGCCGCUUCCCGACUGCGCGUCCUGAGGGACCCUGAACGGGAGCCAGAGGGGUUCGGGGGCCCCCGCCGCCGCUUCCCGGCUGUGGCGGCCCCGAACGGGAACUUGGGGGGGUCUGGGGCGCCCCAGUUGCCGCCUGUAGGUUUCCUGGCCUGGGGGACCCCGAAUGAGAACCUGAGGGAGUCUGCGGGGAGUCCAGGGCGCCCUCGCCGCCGCCUCCCGGCUUCUUGGUCAGGGGGACCCCGAACUGUGGCGUGGGGGGUGGUCCGGGGCGCCCCCAGCGCGCGCCCAAACUUGGCGGGCGGCGCACGUGGCGAGCCGAGCCGAGGGUUCCGGUUCUGCCACCGCCCAACUUAUCCCACUCGGGGGUCCGGGCUCCCCGCUCCCAUCCCACUCCUCCGAAGUGGUAAGGUCGGGAGGGGUUCGCAAACCUAGGGCCCGGGGGGCUCGGGUCAGCCGGGGCCUGCUGUGUUUACGUUGCCUCAGCGCCUCCCCGCCGGGGGUGGGCUUGAGCUGCGGAAGGGAGAGUCAGCGCUUCCGAGGCGGCGACGGGCCCGCGGAUCUUUGCUGAGCCGAGGCGUCCCCUCCCAUAGGAGCCUGAUCUGCUCCGGACCCCGCGGGGCCGGGAAACCUCAUUUCGCUGUGGCCCGGGGCUCGGCUCCAUUCUUUGGUAGGAGCGGCUCUUGCAGCAGCGAUGUUGUUUUAGAGUUGCAUUUUUCCGGCAAAACAGUCUGGGUUGGGUUUCCUAGUGGUCUGGUGAAAAUUUCUCGGUGCCCUUAGCUUUGAGCAACGCCCUGUGUUCUCAGCGCUGGGCUUGGCUAGUGCAGGAGCGGUUGCUGCUAGAGGGUCGCCUUGGCAGGCCCCUCUCGCACCAGCUACAGGUCACACUUGUGGAUGGGAAAUGCCUUUUGUGGGUUCUCCCCCUCCCCAGACAAAACAAAAGAGCACCUUCCGUUGGAGAACCAGGAUGAAAGCACUUAGCCCCUGCCUCGCCCGUGCUGUGAGUCCUCUCCAGGCACUUUGACUUGGCAGGGUCCGUGUGCCUGUGUGGGACACGUUGCAGGGAUGGGCCUGAGCAGGGAGUCCACCGGCCACGGGGGAUGGAGCCAUCGACGCUGGGGUGAGGCAGGGAAAGGGCUCCCAGAUGGGGUACCUGGGUUAGGUCCAUUCAAGCCGCGGGCGAACGUGGGCCCGCUCCUCCCAAGCCGUGGCCGUGAGGAGGCUGGAGAGAGGUGAGGGCUCUUGUCCCUUCCCUCCCUGCAUGGACACCCCUGGGAAGUGGGGCAGCUGGGGUCCCAGCCUGGGUCUGGAGGGGUCCCACCCACAGCAUAGGUAGGCUCGGAGGCCACCUGGACGCCACGGGCUGCGUGGAGGAGGACUGGAGUGCAUGGACCCUGUUCUCCUCCCCGGCUGCCAGGAGUGUCCACUGCUUUCUAAGUCAGACUCCUUGGGCAAGAAGUGUUGCCACAGCUGCCCCUCGAGUGGGAGACCGGCUUUCAUUCUAUGCGGAGUCCACGGUCUACUCUGACCUCCUUGCCGUGUGGAGUUGUUGUAGCCCUCACUGCUCACUGCCAUGGAGGAGGCAGGAGAUCCCGCCGGACCCCGCUUGGAGGGCUGGGCCUGGAGCAUGCAUGGGUGCGAGGUCAACGCCUCAGGAGACUUGCAGCUUGGGAGCCCCCUAUUCUGGGACACUUGUGGCCGUCCAGCUGCUGCCCUGGGAAUCCACACCUGGGAAGGCAGAAGAGGGUGGCUGCGCCGGCCACCGUGGAUUGAGCACCUGCCAGGUGUCGAGCUGCAGGUCCCGGGUGCCAGGCUUGCAGAUCCUGGAGAUGUUCAUCAUGACCUUCGGUGGGCAGACUGCACACCGGACUCCAGGUUGCAAGGGAAGAAGUGGAGCUCGUCCUACGCCUCCCCCACUGACGAGAACACCCCUUUUGGAUUUGUGGGGUGUGAGGUCUGUAGGAGCCACGACUUCCAGUGUCGGAGAUGCCAUCAGCUGGGUGAUGACUCUCCCACCCAGCGGGCCCCUCAGAGGCAGGGCCUCUUCAGAGACAGAGUGCAGGAGCCACAUUGCUCGCUGACCCCUUCAUCUGCGUAGGCCAGUGUUGCCUUGCCCCGUUAACGUCCUCGGUCCACACGCUGCCAGCCCAGGUACAGGCUGAGCAAGCCUGGAGCUGAGGACAAGCGGACCGCCAGCCCCAUAGCAAGCCCAUGAGAGCCAGCAGCUCCUCCUGUUGGCCUCUGCCUGCGCCCGGCUCCCUGGACUCUGACGUUUACUUGUGUGAGAGUUGGUUUUGCUGCCUGGGCAGUUGAUGGACAGUGUCUGGGAGGUGCCUGCCCAGGGCCCUGCAUGUUUCUGGGGUGCCGGUUUCUCACUCACAACCUGGUGAGGUUGGCAGCCAGGAGCUUUCUUAUUUUAUUGAUUAAAACAUCCUGAGACUCAGAAGUAGGGACUUUGUGCCAGGGUCCUGGAGGCAGUCCCUGCCACUGAGGAGAUGACCCUGCCUUCUGGGACUUCCUGGAGGCUUCCGUCUGUAGACCAGGGAGAAGGUGUUAGCCGGUGGCUCCUGAGCAGUAGUAAAAGAAACAUGGACACAGGAAGCUUUAGCGUUAGAAGCUACUCUCAAAUAUUUCAAUAGAAACACACAGUGUGGCUGGGCACGGUGCCUCAUGCCUGUAAUCCCAGCACUUUGGAAGGUCGAGGCGGGCGGAUCACCUGAGAGAUGAGAUCUGUGUCACCCCGGCUGGAGUGCAAUGACACAAUCACGGCUCACUGCAGCCUCGACCUCGACUCAAACAAUCCUUCUGCCUCAGCCUACCAAGUAGCUGGGACUACAGGUGACCGCCACCACCUGGAGUGUCGUUUUGUUGCCCAGGCUGGUCUUGAAGUCCUGGCCUCCCGUAAUGCUGUGAUUACAGGCGUGAUCUGCGCCCAGCUGAGAAAGACAGUACUGAUGCCAGGUUAUCUAACCCCCGGCCCUGUUUCAGGUUUCUCAGCUGUGUGUUUCUAGCCCUUCCCCCUUAAUACACAGUUUUUGAAAUUUAAAUGAGGACCGAAACUGGACUGGUCUGACGAGUUCCUUCUGCCAGCGAGGUGGGGGUGGAGGGGGGACUGGGCUGCUUGGAGGACACCUGCCUGUUACCUGGCUGUUUGGUGGGUGCAGUGCUAACUAGAGGCUGCUGUUUCUUCAAGUGACUUGGGUUUGGUUUGGUUUUCAGGGUUUUGUGUGUGUGUGUGUUUUUGUUUUUUUGUUUCUUUUUUUUUUUUUUUUGAGAAUGCUUGAACUUUAAUUCCAAAGGAUUGUGUAAAUGAGCAUUUUUCCGGUCAGUUCCAGCCAGCCUUGGUGGCCCUUCCUUCAUGGGGUGGGGGCUGCUGCUGGCUCCUGCUGGGUGCCGGGCCCUGCUGGCAGGGAUGUGGGCGGGGCUGGCCCUGACUCAGCCUAUGGAGAGUGAGGCACGCGGAGGCCUCGCUCCUCCCACUGUCUCUAGGCCUGACCUCAACGCUCCCUGGCCUGAUUGCGGAGGGUGCGUGGGAGACGCAGGAUUUUAAGUUAAUGAGGCCUCAACCUAAGCCUGUUGCUGUUGUGUGAUCAGCAUGGUUUCCCUAAAAUUUGCCUUUUCAGAUCCCGUCUCUAAGGGUCAGGAAGCACGGGGCGGCUGGCACACCCCGCCUCUAAUUCUUCCCUCCGCAGCCCUCCCCACCGAAGAACGGGGCUGGGGGGUUGCUUGUUGACAUUUUGAAGACGGCAGUGGGUGCCUUUCCUGUGGUGGGAACAUGCUUUGUUUUUCACACACUAAAUUUAAAUUAGCCUUUCUUAGGGAAAAAAGAAGGAACAGGGACAAGCUCCUGGCGGUUGGCUGUGGCAGACACUUCACCAGGGGCUGACUCGCGGGGUCUGAGUGCGCAGGCCCCAGGUGGUGGCUGAUGAGAGGUGAUGAGUGUGCCAGCCACCUUGCAGGGGUCUCUCCUGGAGAGCUGGCAGGAGCAGGGAGGAGCACGUUGCUCCCGACUGCUGUUGGGGCAGUAAUGUGUUCAACCUGCCAGCGACAUUUUUGCUGAAAGCCGAAGCCAAGGGUGGUGUGGUUGGCCGUCAGGGAUACGGGGCCCCGCGUGGGAAUGGUGCUUUCAGUGAGGCUGGCGGGAUUCUUGCGGCUCGGGUGGGAGCUUUGGCCUGCACGGUGUUUUGCUCUCUGGAGACCAAGGGUGAUGAUGGUGCUGGCACUGAGUCACAGCUGAGAUUCAGCUCAGGGACUUCAUUUCUGAAUGCAUGUCCUCUU